rnacentral:rRNA from 1 species
UACGUAGGGUGCAAGCGUUGUCCGGAAUUAUUGGGCGUAAAGAGCUCGUAGGCGGUUUGUCGCGUCGGCUGUGAAAACUGGAGGCUUAACCUUCAGCGUGCAGUCGAUACGGGCAGACUUGAAUUCGGUAGGGGAGACUGGAAUUCCUGGUGUAGCGGUGAAAUGCGCAGAUAUCAGGAGGAACACCGGUGGCGAAGGCGGGUCUCUGGGCCGAUACUGACGCUGAGGCACGAAAGCGUGGGGAUCAAACAGGAUUAGA